ACACAAUGCACUCAGCCCCAAAAUAAAAUUGCAGGGGAUUCAAAGUCACCCGAGAAAGGUUUUUUCUUUCUUGUUUUUCUUUUUAAAGCUCCCAACCGCUGGGGGGCGCAGCCUAUUCUAGAGAAAAGAGAAAAGGGUUAAGAGUGGGAGAAAGCAUAUGCGCUUGUGGAGAAAGGAAGCAAGAGAUAACUCUUGACAGAAAGCAAAUGAAAUGGAGGCUUGAUGGAGGAUAAGGAGCCCAGGAUCAGGCUGCUUGCAUGGCCCUCCCAAAGGAUGAAAAGACCAAAUAUCUUGAGGCACAUCUAUAAUCCUACAGGCUAGGAAGUUCUAUCUACAGGAAUGAAGGGUAAAGACCUAGGAUUGAAAGUGGUUGGCUGGGGAGACUGAUGAAGACUUCUGACUAGUAAAAGAAUAGUCCUGCUGGUAAGUAUAAGAAGAAACUGUUAGAAAUAUUAUUUCUGGAUUGGCUGCUGCACA
rnacentral:lncRNA from 1 species